rnacentral:lncRNA from 1 species
UUAGGUUUGGUGGGAGAAGCCUGCUUGGUUUACAUGUCAAAGGACAGGACAGGACAUGGCAAGAGUGCAGCCAUGGCCCACACAGUACACCAUGGAAGGAGAUAUUUCAAGAACUUGAAAGAAACUACCAUGUUCCAGAUAGAAGUUAUGAAUUAUGUGAACUGCACAGAACAGAAGGCCAGGAAGUGAACCCAGAGGAGCAUCAGACAAUUACCAUUAUGUUUGAUGUGUAUUUAUUUAAUUGAUGUGGUAAAGACAAUACUUUGGAGCAAUAAAUCACACCCUAAGUUGUUAUUUA